CCAGAAAUCGAUCUGCAUGACCUCACGACUGACGAAAAACAUUUGUUUAAGGCCAUGCUAAUGUUCCUAUCUAUGCAAAGAGAGAUAGAAGAGUACAAUUUGACGUGGCCACAUCAGCACCCAAACGGAAGAAAAGAAAGCGCAAAAAGUCAAAAGAGACACGCAAGCGAUAUCUCAAGCGCAAACAAAUGCUCGACAAUCCAAAAUUUCGGUCAUUCAUACGGAAUUUAGCAGUGGUGCCGAUAUGUGAUUUUCGCAGAAAGCACUUCAAAAUCGACUGUUCAAGCAUGCACCAGGUGUUGUCUUCUCAAAAAUUGCUACCAAAAGUAGAAAUCGAGAAUAAAAACGGAAAAACAAGCAUAGCAAAUAUUUUACCAAAGGAUUCCAAUCAGGCGCGUGAGUAUUGGUGGAAUCAGUAUUUCUACAUGCGGAAAAUUCGGCGAUUCGUGCGCGGAAAAAAGAAGUUUGACUUUUCCAUAAACACCGAUGGAAUCGCUGUGUUUCUGCAGUACUCGGCCAAGAAGAAGACAAAUAACAAAGAAAUCGACCGUUCUCACAUCGUUCAAAUGAUUAUGGAUUGCAAAUUCAAAAAUUUUGCGGGCACUGAUACAGGCGUGCGGAGUUGGAAUACCACAGUAACACUCAAAAAAAAAAGUGGCAAAGAAAUAAGUUUUGUAUACAUUUAUGUUAUCAACUUUGUAAUGUCGAGCAAGCAGUUCCACUGGCAGACAGGUCAAAAUGUGUUGGACAAACACACCAAAAGCAGUAGUGUUGUCGACAAUUGGGUGGAAAAGGUUACCGAUAAGCAACCGACUUUGUCUUUUUUUUUGUGCUGAUGGCGAAAUACCACCUGACAGCCCAAUAAAAAUCAAAAAGCACGUGCGGUGUCCGGGGGCUCGUAAGACUUUUAGGUCAAUUAAAAAACGUCAAAAUUGUGUCAUAGAUCUGGUGGACGAAUGGGGAACAUCUCAAACAGACGCAAGAUGACUAUGGACAUUGCUGGGACUUCCGAUACCGGAGGCGAUCAAUAGAUAUUUGUACAAAGCCCGCGAAGCUGUCGCUGAGGC